GGUGGGGGUCUUAAAUAAGGCGGUGGAGUAUCGUAUCCUUCCCUUGCUAAAAUGGCUGGGACAAAGUAUUGCGAUUCCGCGAGGGUGAGCUAACUCUGAAAACCUGUUGAGAUUGUAGACUGCAAUUGGCCUAUAAUAAGUCCGGAAUAGCUAGUAAUUGUCAAUCAGCCGUACGGCGGGAAAUUCGUUACUGGGCCUUGUAC
rnacentral:ncRNA from 1 species